UACGUAGGGGGCAAGCGUUAUCCGGAUUUACUGGGUGUAAAGGGAGCGUAGACGGUAAUGUAAGUCUGAUGUGAAAGCCCGGGGCUCAACCCCGGGACUGCAUUGGAAACUAUGUAACUAGAGUACCGGAGAGGUAAGCGGAAUUCCUAGUGUAGCGGUGAAAUGCGUAGAUAUAACUUAGAACACCGAUAGCGAAGGCAGCUUACCAGACUGAGUCUGACGCUGAUGCACGAGAGCAUGGGUAGCGAACAGG
rnacentral:rRNA from 1 species